rnacentral:rRNA from 1 species
ACAAUGGGCGCAAGCCUGAUGCAGCCAUGCCGCGUGUAUGUAAGAAGGCCUUCGGGUUGUAAAGUACUUUCAGCAGUGAGGAAGGUGGGUAUGUUAAUAGCAUAUUCAUUUGACGUUAGCUGCAGAAGAAGCACCGGCUAACUCCGUGCCAGCAGCCGCGGUAAUACGGAGGGUGCGAGCGUUAAUCGGAAUUACUGGGCGUAAAGCGCAUGCAGGUGGUUUGUUAAGUCAGAUGUGAAAGCCCGGGGCUCAACCUCGGAAUUGCAUUUGAAACUGGCAAACUAGAGUACUGUAGAGGGGGUAGAAUUUCAGGUGUAGCGGUGAAAUGCGUAGAGAUCUGAAGGAAUACCGGUGGCGAAGGCGGCCCCCUGGACAGAUACUGACACUCAGAUGCGAAAGCGUGGGGAGCAAACAGGAUUAGAUACCCUGGUAG